AUAACGUAAUAAUGGGGGCACAUUCGGUAUGUAAACAUAAUCCUUUAGUUACUGGUUAGUUAAUGAGGUCAUCUAUAUGUAGCCACAUGAGGUAGUUUGUUGAACUUGCCCAGUUGAGUAAGCCGGCGGGUGCUGGAGAGACCAGCACCACUUUAUUAUUUUUGUGUGAUAGCCCUGGGGUGGCCCAUGGCGUGCCCGUGUGCAUCACUGAAGAUAAAUAGGUAAAGUAAGGUAGUUAUCCUGCAGGUAGCUAGGGAACUGGGUUAGUUCCAGAGUAGAAAAUCCUGUCUUAAGAGUAGCAUGUGGUUACCUAUGAUGACUUGUGUGGCUUGCUUUUUGUGUGAAUGAGCUGUAGUUAAGAUAUUUGUGGUUUAAUGUUGAGCAUUCAAAGUAAAGCUGUUUCACUUAUUUAACCCAUGUAACUUUGUGUGAGGCUAGUAAUUUAGAUGCCAUUGUUGAUCUUUUGCUUGUGUGAGUUUUGUUUAUUGCAUAGCUCUGCUUUUGCAGUCUGCACAUUGUUUGGUACUUAAAGGGGUAUAUUGCACUGAAGGUGCUUUAGUUUGGGUGACAGUUUCUUGAAUGCGUAUUUGUGCUUGUUAGCUGUAGUUUUUGUGGUGUAUAGUCACUAUUUGUGCAGCUUUUGGUUAUUUACUGUAAUCCCUUUGCAAGCUUGGGGUCUCAGUGGAGACAUUUGUGGUUUGAUGGUAUUUCUAGUUGAUGAAACAUGACAUUGCAUGGUUUAGCAGGCCAGUGUAUGUCAUCUUAAGGGUCAAAUUGAUCUCCUGCCACAAUGUUUAACAGCAGAGAAAACCCCCUAAAUGAUCUCUUUCCAGCUUCAAAUUUGAUGACUUUUCCCAGAGUGACCUCAACCUCAGACCUCUGUUUUAUCUAGUUCAGUUUCCCUUCAUUCAUGUUACUUCCCCGUGCCAGGUCAUAACAUAAGGACAUAUUCUAUUAUUAUGAUAUUCCAUAGUAAUAGAAUAUGCCCAUUACUAUGGAAUAUCAGAAAUCUUGAGUGAAUGUCAUGGGGAAAUUUACUGAUGCAUUAUUUUUUGAGCUAUCUUUCUUAUUUUGACCAAAUUGCCCAAAUUGUAUGAUUUCACUCAUUGUGGACUGGUGCUUUUCACCAUGUCACCUGCUGCCAUGGACUAUUGCCCGAGACCCACAGCAACAUCUAGACUAACCCACGACAGCUCGGGGUCAUCUCUGCAGUUCCAGCCUUGACCACAGAGAAGUUCCUGAAGCAACAAGUCAGCAGGAGACUUGGAAAAGUUUUAACAACGAAACCUAGGAGAUUGUCCUGAGUCCCUUGUUGACCUGUGCGUCUGAAGACAUUCUGUCUGAAACUGAAGAAUUGGCAGAAAAUGUUCUACUGCAACAACUGGGAAUAGGUCAUUGUGUUUUGCACCAUGUCACCUGCCACCACUUCACCACUGCCUGAGAGCCACGGCAACAUCUGAACUGAACAAUACAGGACCCUGAUCUGUGGCUGAGGGAUGUGGAAAAGUUUUGCCUUUUGGAUCAACUGCAGAACUGGAGUCAUUUCACAACCACAUCUUGAUGUACACUUCCAAGAGGUUCUCCUUCAGCCCACCUGUGUAUGAAGCCUGGAUUAUAACCAUCAUGUCCACUGGCCAGCAAUGGAAAAACAGGGAUGGCAUUUGCUGUAAGUCUGGAACCAAAAGUCCAGUAGAUGGAGCUUUAUAUACUGUCACAGUUCCAAAGGACUACAGUUUCAUGCCAGACCUGCAGAGCCCCAUCUUGAGAAGACAGCUGAUGACAAAGGGAAUCCCGGAAAGAGAGUGAUGCAUACCUCAGACCCACGACAGCUCAGGUUCAUCUGUGAAAUUCCAGCCUUGACCACAGAGAAGCUCCUGGAGCAUAAAGUCAGCAGGAGACUUGAGACAGUUACCACACGAUAAUCUCCAGAAGUUGACCAGAACGGCAGCCUUCCAAUUGUUGGGCCUCAUAUGACAUGUGCAAAGGAUGAACCCCACGUGGCACACGUCCACCAUCUUGUUCCUCCUCCUUCCUCUCUCACAACCCCCCUGUACACACACACACAUCUCUGUUAGUGCUGUAUGGUUUGCUGUUAACCGCUGCUGUUUGAUUGCUUGCUUUAGUGUAGUUGUAUGACAGUACUGCUAAUUUAAUAAACU